rnacentral:rRNA from 1 species
AUACGGAGGGUGCAAGCGUUGUUCGGGAUUACUGGGCGUAAAGGGCGCGCAGGCGGUUUGGUAAGUCAGAUGUGAAAGUCCAGGGCUUAACCCUGGAAGUGCGUAUGAAACUGUCAGACUUGAGUAUCAGAGGGGAAAGUGGAAUUCCCGGUGUAGAGGUGAAAUUCGUAGAUAUCGGGAGGAAUACCGGUGGCGAAGGCGACUUUCUGGCUGAAUACUGACGCUGAGGCGCGAAAGCGUGGGGAGCAAACAGGAUUAGAUACCCGAGUAGUCC